rnacentral:rRNA from 1 species
GAUGAACGCUGGCGGCGUGCCUAAUACAUGCAAGUCGAGCGAACAGACGAGGAGCUUGCUCCUCUGACGUUAGCGGCGGACGGGUGAGUAACACGUGGAUAACCUACCUAUAAGACUGGGAUAACUUCGGGAAACCGGAGCUAAUACCGGAUAAUAUAUUGAACCGCAUGGUUCAAUAGUGAAAGACGGUUUUGCUGUCACUUAUAGAUGGAUCCGCGCCGCAUUAGCUAGUUGGUAAGGUAACGGCUUACCAAGGCAACGAUGCGUAGCCGACCUGAGAGGGUGAUCGGGCACACUGGGACUGAGACACGGUCCCAACUCCUAAGGGAGGGCACAGGUGGGGAUUUUUCGGCAUGGGGGGAAACUUGGAGGGGGCAACGCGGGUUGGUUGUGAAGGUCCUCCGGUUGUAAAACUCUGUUAUUAGGGAAGAACAAAUGUGUAAGUAACUAUGCACGUCUUGACGGUACCUAAUCAGAAAGCCACGGCUAACUACGUG